rnacentral:rRNA from 1 species
AACGAACGCUGGCGGCGCGUCUUAAACAUGCAAGUCGAACGAUCUGUAGCAAUACAGGGAGUGGCGGACGGGUGAGGAACACGUAGGAAUCUACCUAGAAGAGCGGGACAACCCUGGGAAACCGGGGCUAAUACCGCAUAGUACAGUGAUGUUAAAGGGCUAGCAAUAGUCGCUUCUAGAUGAGCCUGCGGUCUAUCAGCUUGUUGGCGGGGUAACGGCCCACCAAGGCGACGACGGAUAGCCGGUCUGAGAGGAUGAUCGGCCACACUGGCACUGAGACACGGGCCAGACUCCUACGGGAGGCAGCAGUUAAGAAUCUUGCGCAAUGGACGAAAGUCUGACGCAGCGACGCCGCGUGAAGGAUGAAGGCUUUCGGGUUGUAAACUUCGGUAGACUGGGAAGAAAAAGUAAGUUCGUUGAGGGCUUACAGUGACGGUACCUGACUAAGAAGCUCCGGCUAAAUACGUGCCAGCCGCCGCCGUAA